UACGUAGGGUGCAAGCGUUGUCCGGAAUUAUUGGGCGUAAAGAGCUCGUAGGCGGUUUGUCGCGUCUGCUGUGAAAUCUGGGGGCUCAACCCCCAGCCUGCAGUGGGUACGGGCAGACUAGAGUGCGGUAGGGGAGAUUGGAAUUCCUGGUGUAGCGGUGGAAUGCGCAGAUAUCAGGAGGAACACCGAUGGCGAAGGCAGAUCUCUGGGCCGUAACUGACGCUGAGACGCGAAAGCGUGGGGAGCGAACAGG
rnacentral:rRNA from 1 species